rnacentral:rRNA from 1 species
CCCCUAGAUGUUCUGGGCCGCACGCGCGCUACACUGAACAGUUCAACAAGUCUUAACCUUGGCCGAUAGGUCUGGGUAAUCUUUGAACGCUGUUCGUGAUUGGGAUAGACCUUUGCAAUUAUGGGUCUUCAACGAGGAAUUCCUAGUAAACGCAAGUCAUCAGCUUGCAUUGAUUACGUCCCUGCCCUUUGUACACACCGCCCGUCGCACCUACCGAUUGAAUGGUCCGGUGAAAUCUCGGGACGGCGGCUUGGUCGCUUGCGUCCGACUGCUGAAACUUGAUUAAACCAUAUCGUUUAGAGGAAGGUGAAGUCGUANCA